ACCGUGCAAAGGUAGCAUAAUCAUUAGUUUUUUAAUUGAAAGCUGGAAUGAAUGGUUGGACGAGAAAGUUACUGUCUCAAUUUAAUUUAAUUAGAAUUUUAUUUAUAAGUAAAAAAGCUUAUAUAAUUUUAAAAGACGAGAAGACCCUAUAGAGUUUUAUAAUUGUUUAGUUAUAUUAUUUUUAGAAUGGUUUGAUAUUGUAUUUAAAUAAUUAUUUUAUUGGGGCGAUAGAAAAAUUUAAUAAACUUUUUUUAUAUUGUUACAUUAAUAUAUGAAUAAAUGAUCCAAUGUUUUUGAUUAUAAGAUUAAAUUACCUUAGGGAUAACAGCGUAAUUUUUUUUUAGAGUUCUUAUCGAAAAAAGAGUUU
rnacentral:rRNA from 1 species